rnacentral:rRNA from 1 species
AGGCAGCAGUGAGGAAUAUUGGUCAAUGGACGAGAGUCUGAACCAGCCAAGUAGCGUGAAGGAUGACUGCCCUAUGGGUUGUAAACUUCUUUUAUAAGGGAAUAAAGUGAGGGACGUGUCCCUUUUUGUAUGUACCUUAUGAAUAAGGAUCGGCUAACUCCGUGCCAGCAGCCGCGGUAAUACGGAGGAUCCAAGCGUUAUCCGGAUUUAUUGGGUUUAAAGGGAGCGUAGGUUGACAUAUAAGUCAGCUGUGAAAGUUUACGGCUCAACCGUGAAAUUGCAGUUGAUACUGUAUGUCUUGAGUGUACAAGAGGUGGGCGGAAUUCGUGGUGUAGCGGUGAAAUGCUUAGAUAUCACGAAGAACUCCAAUUGCGAAGGCAGCUCACUGGGGUACAACUGACACUGAGGCUCGAAAGUGUGGGUAUCAAACAGGAUUAGAUACCCUGGUAGUCCACACAGUAAACGAUGAAUACUCGCUGUUUGCGAUAUACAGUAAGCGGCCAAGCGAAAGCAUUAAGUAUCC